rnacentral:rRNA from 1 species
ACGGGAGGCAGCAGUGGGGAAUAUUGCACAAUGGGGGAAACCCUGAUGCAGCGAUGCCGCGUGGAGGAAGAAGGUUUUCGGAUUGUAAACUCCUGUCUUAAGGGACGAUAAUGACGGUACCUUAGGAGGAAGCUCCGGCUAACUACGUGCCAGCAGCCGCGGUAAUACGUAGGUGGCAAGCGUUAUCCGGAUUUACUGGGUGUAAAGGGCGCGUAGGCGGGGAUGCAAGUCAGAUGUGAAAUCUAUGGGCUUAACCCAUAAACUGCAUUUGAAACUGUAUCUCUUGAGUGCUGGAGAGGUAGAUGGAAUUCCUAGUGUAGCGGUGAAAUGCGUAGAUAUUAGGAAGAACACCAGUGGCGAAGGCGAUCUACUGGACAGUAACUGACGCUGAGGCGCGAAAGCGUGGGGAGCAAACAGGAUUAGAUACCCUGGUA